GGUCGGUUCGGCCGGAUUUUACACAAGUGUUGCAUGGCUGUCGUCAGCUCGUGUCGUGAGAUGUUGGGUUAAGUCCCGCAACGAGCGCAACCCUCAUCCUUAGUUGCCACCAGGUAAUGCUGAGUACUUUAAGGAAACUGCCAGUGAUAAGCUGGAGGAAGGUGGGGAUGAUGUCAAGUCAUCAUGGCCUUUAUGGAGUGGGCUACACACGUGCUACAAUGGUGUCUACAAUGGGUUGCAAGGUGCGCAAGCCUAAGCUAAUCCCUAAAAGACAUCUCAGUUCGGAUUGUACUCUGCAACUCGAGUACAUGAAGUUGGAAUCGCUAGUAAUCGUGGAUCAGCAUGCCACGGUGAAUACGUUCUCGGGUCUUGUACACACUGCCCGUCACGCCAUGGGAAUUGGUUUCCUUCCAAAGCUCGUAUAGACUCAGUAUAAUAGACAUGUUAAU
rnacentral:rRNA from 1 species